rnacentral:rRNA from 1 species
AACGAACGCUGGCGGCAUGCCUAACACACGCAAGUCGAACGAGACCUUCGGGUCUAGUGGCGCACGGGUGCGUAACGCGUGGGAACCUGCCCUUAGGUUCGGAAUAACUCCCCGAAAGGGGUGCUAAUACCGGAUAAUGUCUUCGGACCAAAGAUUUAUCGCCUUUGGAUGGGCCCGCGUUGGAUUAGCUAGUUGGUAGGGUAAAAGCCUACCAAGGCGACGAUCCAUAGCUGGUCUGAGAGGAUGAUCAGCCACACUGGGACUGAGACACGGCCCAGACUCCUACGGGAGGCAGCAGUGGGGAAUAUUGGACAAUGGGCGAAAGCCUGAUCCAGCAAUGCCGCGUGAGUGAUGAAGGCCUUAGGGUUGUAAAGCUCUUUUACCCGGGAUGAUAAUAACAGUACCGGGAGAAUAAGCUCCGGCUAACUCCGUG